GGAGAGGUGGCCGAGUGGUCGAAGGCACGCCCCUGCUAAGGGCGCAUACGAGCUUAAACUUGUAUCGAGGGUUCGAAUCCCUCCUUCUCCGCCA
rnacentral:tRNA from 6 species